ACAAUUUGUUUUGUGGUUUGGAGGGACUAUCCAACCCCAAUGGAAAUUGAACCCCGGUUCCAGAUUUCUUCGGGGGGGCCAGCAGUGGAGAUUUUUCCCCAAAGGGGGAAAACCCUGGAGGGAACAAUUCCCGGGUGAGGGAAGACGGCCUUUUGGUGUGUAAACCUUUUUUUCUCAGGGAGGAAAUCAAAUGACGUUACCUGAGGAAUAAGCAUCGGCUAAUUCCGUGCCAGCAGCCGCGGUAAUACGGGAGUGGCAAGCGUUAUCCGGAAUUAUUGGGCGUAAAGCGUCCGCAGGCGGCCCUUCAAGUCUGCUGUUAAAACGUGGAGCUUAACUCCAUCAUGGCAGUGGAAACUGUUGGGCUUGAGUGUGGUAGGGGCAGAGGGAAUUCCCGGUGUAGCGGUGAAAUGCGUAGAUAUCGGGAAGAACACCAGUGGCGAAGGCGCUCUGCUGGGCCAUCACUGACGCUCAUGGACGAAAGCCAGGGGAGCGAAAGGGAUUAGAUACCCCUGUAGUCCUGGCCGUAAACGAUGAACACUAGGUGUCGGGGGAAUCGACCCCCUCGGUGUCGUAGCCAACGCGUUAAGUGUUCCGCCUGGGGAGUACGCACGCAAGUGUGAAACUCAAAGGAAUUGACGGGGGCCCGCACAAGCGGUGGAGUAUGUGGUUUAAUUCGAUGCAACGCGAAGAACCUUACCAGGGUUUGACAUCCUGCGAAUCUCUUGGAAACGAGAGAGUGCCUUCGGGAACGCAGUGACAGGUGGUGCAUGGCUGUCGUCAGCUCGUGUCGUGAGAUGUUGGGUUAAGUCCCGCAACGAGCGCAACCCACGUCUUUAGUUGCCAGCAUUCAGUUGGGCACUCUAGAGAGACCGCCGGUGAUAAACCGGAGGAAGGUGUGGAUGACGUCAAGUCAUCAUGCCCCUUACAUCCUGGGCUACACACGUACUACAAUGCUACGGACAAAGGGCAGCAAGUUCGCGAGGACAAGCAAAUCCCAUAAACCGUGGCUCAGUUCAGAUCGUAGGCUGCAACUCGCCUACGUGAAGGAGGAAUCGCUAGUAAUCGCAGGUCAGCAUACUGCGGUGAAUACGUUCCCGGGCCUUGUACACACCGCCCGUCACACCAUGGAAGUUGGCCACGCCCGAAGCCGUUACUCCAACCCUUGUGGAGGAGGACGUCGAAGGUGGGGCUGAUGACUGGGGUGAAGUCGUAACAAGGUAACCGUA
rnacentral:rRNA from 1 species